rnacentral:rRNA from 1 species
ACGGGUGAGUAAUAUAUCGGAACGUGCCCAGUUGUGGGGGAUAGCCCGGCGAAAGCCGGAUUAAUACCGCAUACGACCUGAGGGUGAAAGCGGGGGAUCGCAAGACCUCGCGCAAUUGGAGCGGCCGAUAUCAGAUUAGCUAGUUGGUGGGGUAAAGGCCUACCAAGGCGACGAUCUGUAGCUGGUCUGAGAGGACGACCAGCCACACUGGGACUGAGACACGGCCCAGACUCCUACGGGAGGCAGCAGUGGGGAAUUUUGGACAAUGGGCGCAAGCCUGAUCCAGCCAUGCCGCGUGCGGGAAGAAGGCCUUCGGGUUGUAAACCGCUUUUGUCAGGGAAGAAACGGUCUGAACUAAUACUUUGGACUAAUGACGGUACCUGAAGAAUAAGCACCGGCUAACUACGUGCCAGCAGCCGCGGUAAUACGUAGGGUGCAAGCGUUAAUCGGAAUUACUGGGCGUAAAGCGUGCGCAGGCGGCUAUGCAAGACAGAUGUGAAAUCCCCGGGCUCAACCUGGGAACUGCAUUUGUGACUGCAUGGCUAGAGUACGGUAGAGGGGGAUGGAAUUCCGCGUGUAGC